CCUGAAAGAGAAAGAGGACGAAUGCUGAACACCAGGUAGGACGUUUGUUUACAUCCGAAGCACUUCCUGUUGGGUUUGUUUGGAUUGUCGUGGAUUUGAUGGUGGUUUUUUUUGGUGUGGAUUAAGGGAUGAUGCCCAACAAGGUCUCCAUCAUCAGAGAUUAAAGCCACUGUUGAGGCGUGAGCGCUUGCUUUUGAGAAAAACAUCCAUUCAUUAGUGAUGGACACCUCUAGGGGCAUUAUCCUGAUUUUCCCUUGAAGACAGAAUAUUUAUCAAUUAUUAGUACUCUAAACUUGUUAUUUUAUUUAAAUAGCAACAAUAUAGAAAAAUCCAGCAUUUGACUGGAACUACUUUUUUAGGUGUCAAUCACCGCUCACUUAAUGAACACCCUGCAGCCAAUCGGAAUCCAGUAUUGGCUCAGACCAUGGUAUUCUUGGUCAUAAAACGCAAAGACAACCCAGACGUCUCAGCAGCAGACAGGCCACACGCUGAACGCUUGUUGUUCUAGUUUAGCAGCAGCUGCCGAAUGAAUCUCUACCAUAAUGCUGAUCGGCUCUAAUAGCGAUAAAAAAAUAGGCUAUAAAUAGCGGCUGUGAAGUCAGGACGAACCUUUCCGAGGACACCGCAGCCGGGGAAAUGUAAUAUGUGUGGAGGAUGGGAGAGCUCGGGCUAAAAAGAGCUGGUGGUAUGGAGACACCAGUCAAAACAUUAUUCUAACGGCGCACAGACCGACUUCCUCCACCCUCUCUACCGCAACGAUCGGCGUAGAAGAGCACAGGCUGAUGACACGGAGACCAGCUGAUCCCUUAGAAGACCAGGAUUUCAGCACAUAAUAGGACUGAGAGGGAACACGCCCGCCCUGCGCACGACGACAGCGAGACGAAACAAACCAGGUCCAACCAGCGGCUUUCCUGAAGAACCUUGGGAGAAUUCCUGGGCUUACGUCACGGACGAGCAAAGCACGCACACCAGAGAUGAUAAAACGAGCCUCCCGCCUCCAGCUAUCAGCUCCACGAGCCGGACCAGCAGAAGACCAAAGACUAGAGGGGAGUAACAUGCCCCCCCCCCCAGCUAAACCGAGCCCUGUUCAGCUCUUUCCGUCUCAACACCACCAUCACUGCAGGCUAGCACUGAAAGGAAGCCACACAAGUGCUCAACAGAAAAGAGCAUCUGUUGACUGGAUGUCAAAAGCUAAAAAGCGCCGGGAGUGCCGAGUCCCAAACUAAAAGACUGCAAGUCCCUGCAAGUCCUAAGCUGAGAGAAACCUCAUCUGUCCAGAGGAGAUUACUCCAUUUAGUUGACGUAUAGCCUCUGUUAAAGCACAUCUACUUGUGCUCCUUCCUUUAAAAAAAAAAAUCAUUUUUCUCAGAGAGAAUCGACGUUCAUCUAAAAAAAAAAUUAAAAAAAAAUGUGGAACGCAAAAUGCUGCCUCCUUUCUCUGAAAGAAACUCAUAAUCCACCCUUAACACAUCAACUGAGCCGCUUUACUGGGCCUGAAGAAGCAACAUUCAUGACGUGUUCAACUGGAGUUCAGGGUUCUGCACAGGAAAGCUGUAGAUCAGGAGACAGCAAGGAUGUGGUCCAUUCUGGCCUUUUAUUCUGUUCAUUCUGAACAAGAACCUUACAAACUGAUAAAUAAAUACUGAAUUAAAAGCAAAAACACCCCAAAAAGCUACAACUAAAUUUUUAGGACAAAAUAAUGGCUUUAUCCCAAAAUUUGAUUGAAACUAGGCCUGCACAAUAUACCGCAAAUUUAUCGUUAUCGCGACAUCAAGCUGUGCAAUACGCAUACCGCAAAAGACGGCGA